UUGAAAGGAUUUGAGGAACAAAAGAUGGCCCAGAUUGGAAGUUCUCUCCUUGUGCCUUGUGUUCAAGAGUUGGUCAAGAAUCCGGCGUUAGUUGUCCCCGACAGAUACAUACGUCCAGAUCAAGAUUCACCCCUCAUUUCUGAUGAUAUUUUGAUUUCACAGAUACCAGUUAUUGACAUGCAAAGCUUACUUUCUAAAGAAUCAAUGGAUUCUGAGUUAGCCAAGCUCGACUUCGCAUGCAAAGAAUGGGGUUUUUUCCAGGUAUAAUGCUUUAGCAAAGUUAGAAAAUUGUUUCGCCAGAACAUGCUUGUUUGUGAUCAAGAAUCGAGAAAUAUGCAAAUUGUCAAUCAAAUAGGCAAAAUUAAAAUUCAUAUUUAUUUCUUAAACCCACGUAUCAUUGAUGUUAGCAGAUCAUGGUUUCACUUUCCAGUGUUGUCUGUGGCUUAGGACUGCAGCUUGUGAAAAGAAGAACUUGUCUCUGGUUUAUUUAUUAUUGACUUUCUAUAUUGCUUUACCUUUUCUCCCUCCAGGCAUGGUUUAAUUAGCUAUUUCAUUCCUAAAUGUCAAACAGGCAAUAUGUAUUAAAAAGAUUGUCUUGAGAAAUUUCACCUCCUCUGCCUCAAUAGCUUUUGGUACCUUAUGAGAAAUAUGCUUCUGUCAAAAUUUUAAAAGAUAUACUAUAGUAAAUUGUGUAAGACCUCUUAGAAAAUGUACUCAUUUCUGUAGUCAAUGUUGCAAAUUUACUUUAAUUUAAAGACAAUUAGAAGUAACAUUGAGAUUAUUUGCUGUUGUAUGAUUUUUCAAAUUCUAGGUGUGAACAAACCACAAGAACUUUAUGCUCAUUAUAGUUAUUCUAGAAUAACCAAAAUUUCUCCGAUAGAAUGAGUAGAAAACACCUGUGGAAACUAAUUGUUGGGAAGAUUUAAAUGUAACAAAUGCUUUUAGCCAUCUUUAAUGGUAAAUCUUAUCUCUAAAUCAGUCAGAUAAGUUGCAAUCUGUCUUAAUAAAACACCUGGACUAUUGUGCGCUUAGUGGCACGAUUAUUAAAUCUUUGCUGCAUUUCGUUCCUGUAUUUUUUUCAGCUGGUAAAUCAUGGAAUGAGCACAGCAUUUCUAGAGAAAUUAAAGAAAGAGGUUGAGGGAUUCUUCAAUCUCAGCAUGGAAGAAAAGAAAAAAUAUUGGCAGCGUCCAGGAGAUAUGGAAGGAUUUGGACAAGCCUUUGUUGUAUCGGAGGAACAAAAGCUUGAUUGGGCUGACCUUUUCUCCAUGAUGACUCUUCCAGUUCAUCUGAGGAAACCACAUUUAUUUCCUAAGCUCCCUCCUUCCCUCAGGUUCUCUCUCUCUCUCUCUCUGUGUCAAUGUCAUUUUGAUUUGCAAACAAAUAAAGGAUAGUGCAUCUUCUUUUCCUGUAGAGAGACCUUGGAAGUUUACUCAAUGGAAUUAAAAACCCUAGCCGAGAACCUAAUAUCGAAAAUGGGAGAAGUGUUAAAUAUCAAAGAUGAAGAAAUGAUAGAAUUCUUUGAAAAUGGACUGCAAGGAAUGAGGAUGAAUUAUUACCCUCCAUGUCCUCAGCCCGAGAAGGUUAUGGGCCUGUCGCCGCAUUCUGAUGCAGCUGCACUUACCAUUCUGCUACAACUUAAUGAAGUGGAGGGUCUCCAGGUAAAGAAGGAUGGAAAGUGGAUUCCUGUUACCCCACUCCCGGAUGCUUUCAUUGUCAACAUUGGAGACACAUUGGAGGUAAUAAUUAUAAUAAAUUACCUUAACCUGGCAUUUUUAUGCGCUUGCUUAUGUGCUUUAAUAAUUUUUACAUGGCAGAUUAUAACCAAUGGGACAUACCGCAGCAUUGAGCAUCGUGCAGUUGUAAACUCUGUACAGGAAAGACUUUCCGUUGCCACAGUUUACUCAGUGAGAUAUGAUGGUGAAGUGUAUCCUGCCUCCAGUUUGAUCUCUGAAAAAACUCCUCCUUUGUUUAGAAGAGUGAGAAUUGAAGAAUACUUUAGGAGCCGGUAUGCUCGUGAGCUUAGGGGAAAAUCUCAGUUGGAUUCCCUGAGAAUUCAACAUGGUCAAGGCUAGUAUAAGUUUAUUUUGGAUAACUAAAGAGUUUGGUACAAAAACUCUUAAGGACCUUGCUAUUAAGAUUGGCGUGGAACUGAAAAUAAGAAAUAAGUUCUAUGAAUACUGUGGUAUAACCUGCUAUGCUAGGGUCGUUGUGUAGCUCUAUCAUUUGAGAUACUGAAUAGACCAUGUAAGAAUCUUAAGAAUUGCAGACUUAUGCCUGGAAUCUUCCGAUGAUAUAUGGUGGUGCUUAUAUCAGAUCAGUAUCUUUCUUUCUUGAAAUAGAAUUUUUGCAUACCUGACUUGUUUUUAAUGAGAUUUCAAGGACUAUAUGACUUGGUUUCAAAUUUUUAUGAUACAUACAGAUAAUAUUACCACAGAACCAGUGUAGUUUCUGUAUCAGCCGUUAUAGUUUUCAGUUAAUAGUAACAAGUUUUUGAUUUUUAACAAGAAUGUUGUCCUUCCACGUCUUAAAUAUUCCGUUCCAUAACACACAUUGUGACGAAUACAUAACUUGUUACCAUUGACGAAAAAUUUUGCCAUCAAUAGCUGAAAAUAGAUGUUAGUUACACAAGCUGCAAAGCUAUAACUUUGGAUUUCAUAUUCAGAUUGUCCCUCUCAAAGUUGAACUUGGAACUACGGUUGAUGAUCUGCUAUUAUGCUGAGAAAAAUACAAGAUUUUUUUUUUGGUUGUCAUCAGACAAUGUAAAAGAAAUUAGCAUGGGAUCCAAAUUCUUGAGAGUUUGAUAAGGCAAUGCACUAUAUUUUUUUAUAACUCGCAGCAGACAGCAGCACAACAGCAGACUGCAACUGUCAUAUUCACAAAAUAUCUAUGGGCCAACCCUAGACCCGCAAUGGUGGAUUAGUCUCACACAAGGCCACAGCAAAUAAUGACUUGUAGAAAAUAAUACAUUUUCAACAUUUGCUUUGUCAAUAAAAAUCUGUAGCAUUAUUGUUGAGAGAAUUUGUGCAACAAAAAGAAGGCCAAGUUCGGAGGUUCUCUGCCUGUGCCUUGUGUUCAAGAGUUGGCCAAGAAUCCUAUGUUAGCUAUCCCCCCAGGUACAUACCACCACGCUAAGAUUUAACCACAAUUUCUGAUAAUAAUUUGGAUUCACGGGUAUUGCAGAGCUUGUUUUCUGAAGAGUCAAUGGAUUCUGAGUUGUCCAGGCUCCACUUCGCUAGCAAAGAAUGGGCUUCUUUCCAGGUAAAGUCCUUUGCCAAGUUAUUAUUAUUUUGCUUUUAAAGGAUUUGCUUGGGAUGAGACCUCAUCUACUAAAUACCACCCUUUGUCCCAUAUUGUUACUCGAGCGCAGAUAUCUGCAAAUUGCGAAUUACAUUCACAACCAGCUAAGCUACACCUGCCGUGAGGCACCCAAGUUUGUACUUUUUCAUUUGGACAUGCUUGGUUUGUUAAUAGUAGUCUGGGGUCAAGAAUUAAGAAAUCUGUAUACUCUCAAUCAAAGAGCACAGUCGAUCAAAUUCAGAUUAGAUUAUGUUCCAUUCUUAUAGGUCAAGUAGGCCACAAAUUUGGCCUACUCUGUAUCAAUGCUUUCUUACACUGUAAGUUAGCAAUAAGAAAGCUGUAACAAAAUUUGAGUCUACGUAGUCUUAACCAAGCCGGUUUAAGCACUCUUUUUUUUAAAAAAAAAAACAUUGAGGGAUGUAACUGACCUUGUCCGAUUAUGGACCCAUCUAACUUGCUUUCUUGUAUGGCUGAGAAGAAAAACCUGCAUUCUUGAAAAUUAAAUUGUCUUUAAUAUCUUUCAGAUGUCUAGGCUUGCGGUAGCUUGAGAAGAACUAUAAGCAAAUUUAUGAUGGAGUAUAAUGCAAAUGCGAUUCUAUUAGUUUAUUGAAAUCUAACAAAUACUUUUAUUCAUCGCACUCAGUAAAUUUUGCCUGAAUUAGUCCAAUAAGUUGUACUCUGUCUCAGCAAAAUACCUUGACCAAAAUAAAAAACGUAGUGACACGAUUGUUAAUGUCUUAGCUGUUUUUCUGUUUCUGAAUUGUUUCAGCUGGUAAAUCAUGGAGUGAGCCCUGCAUUUCUAGAGAACGUAAAGAAAGAGAUUCCGGAAUUCUUCAAUCUAAGCAUGAAAAAAAAAAAAUUGGCGGUCUCCAGGAGCUGUGGAAGGAUUUGGACAAGCAUUUGUUGUAUCCGAGGAACAAAAGCUUGAUUGGAAUAACAUUUUCUUCAUGACAACUCUUCCAGUUCAUCUGAGGAAACCCCACUUGUUUCCUAAGCUCCCUCUUUUCCCCCUCAAGUUUCUCUCUCUCUAGGCAGUUAUUUGAUGAUUGCAAAUGUAUUAUGUUCAGAGAAAGAUCCCAAGUCAGUUAUAUUUAGCAAAAUUUGACAACCAAACAUGAUUUUGAAAGAAUACUGCUAAAUAAUAACUUAUUUAACAAUCCACCACAAUCAUGUACUAAACCUUCUAAUUGCGUCUUCUUUUUUCUUGUAGGAAAUUUUGGAAUUUAUUCAGUGGAGUUAAAAAUCUUUGGCCAUGAACCUGGUAUCGAAAAUGGGAAAAGUUUUAAAUAUCAAAGACGAAGAAUUGAGAGAAUACUUUGAAAAUGGUUUCCAAUCAAUGGGGAUGAACUAUUACCCUCCAUGUCCUUAGCCGGAGAAGGUUGUGGGCCUCACAACUCAUUGUGAUGACUCUGCUCUUACCAUUCUGCUGGAAAUCAAUGAAGUAGAAGGCCUCCAGAUCAAGAAGGAUGGAAAGUGGAUUCCUGUUACACCUUUCCCAAAUGCUUUCGUUGUCAACAUUGGAUAUGUGUUGGAGGUAAUUAUUAUGAUAAGUUAUUUUAACUUGACAUUCAUAUGAGCUAGCUAAUGUGUGCUUUCAUUAAUUCAUGUUGCUCCACUUCCUAAUGCUUUCAUUGGAGACACAUUGGAGGUAAUAAUUAUAGUAAAUUACUUAACUUGGCAUUUAUAUGCGCAUGCUCAUGUGCUUUAAUAAUUUUUACAUGGCAGAUUAUAACCAAUGGGACAUACCGUAGCAUUGAGCAUCAUGUAAUUGUAAACUCUGUACAAGGAAGACUUUCCAUUGGCACAGUUUACUCAGUGAGGUAUGAUGGUGAAAUGUACCCUGCGUCCAAUUUGGUCUCUGAAAAUACUCCUUCAUUGUUUAAAAGAGUGAAAGUUGAAGAAUAAUUUCAGGAAUCUGUGUGCUCGUAAGCUUAGGGGAAAAUCUCAUCUGGAUGCCUUGAGAAUUGAACAUGUUCAAGAUUAUUAUAAGUUUAUUUUGGAUAACUAAAGAGUGUAGUACAAAAACCGUGGGGGACCUUGCUAUUACAAUUGUGUGUGGAACUAAAAAUAAGAAAUAAGUGUAAGAACAAUAAAUCCUUUGGUGAAAAUCAUCACCUCAAUUUAGGAACAUGUAUGUUGUAUCACCAAAAAUUAAUAAUAGAAUAUGCGGCAGUGUACCUAAGUUCAUAAUGCACAAUUGCUCUUUAGAGCCGAGUAGUUUGUCUUCCAAAUAAACAUGUUCUCCUAAAGAAUUCUUUAAACUUCUCUAUACUGUCUCUUUAAUGAUGAGAUGUCAAUAGAGAAUAGAACAAUACGUGUGACCUAUGGAUAAUAACUACUUAUAUAUAUAGAUUUUCCUUUUGUUUUUAGGUAUUCUUAUUUCAACCCAUUAUAAAAAUCAAAAUUAGUCUUAAGUCUCUAUACAUUAAAGGCCCACAAUCUAUUAGAUACAUUAAAACCCAAAUUACCGAAAACCUUAAUAGACCAAUUUUAAUUUGGCUUAGAGUUAGACUAUUGGCACCCCUCCAAAAUUCUUCUAAAACCCCUUUUUCAAUAAUGCUAAGCUUAAUGCCAAAAAUACCCUUAUUUCUAAAUAAACACAUUUAAUUUGUGAAUCUUUUAAUUUUUAUUAUUUUCUCGCUCCUCACAAACAAAAUUUUAUGGGUGAUAAGUUUCUUGAUAAAAAUCAAUUAAUAAAAUAAAAUAUCUGUAAGAUUAUAAUGUAAAAAGUUUUAUUAUGAGCCUUAAAAAAAGGUAGAUAAUUUUUUCAAAAUGUGUUUUGUUUAUUAUCAAUAGAUUGUCUUAGUAAUUGAAGAAAAAUUUACAGAGAAUUUGAGAAAAAAAUUACAUGUGUGAGUUUGAUGGCAGAGAAAAUACAAGAGCUUUUUUUUUAAGAGAGAAAAUACAAAAGUUUGAAGUGAGAUAAAAUAGAUGUGAGAUAUAUUAGAGUAUUUGUCCUUAAAUGUAAUUGUAAUAGAAGAGGAAGUUUAAAAGGAUUUUGAAGGGGUGUCAAUAGUCCAACUCUUUGGCUUAAUCUUAUAUGACAAUUCACAUCAUAUAAUUAUUCACAUAUAAGCGCAACAUUGGAUCAAGGAUCCAACCAUACCAGAUUAAAGAUCCAACAACCUUUCACUUGGACUAUAUAUAUAACUUUGUAAUUAUACUUUACAAAAAUAACUAUAUGAGGUCAACUUUACUGUCAUUACCAAAAUGCAUCUAUAGCCAAUUCGGUCCAUCUAUCAUACCAACAUAGGAUCAAAAUGACCUUUAUUACAAAUAUCGUAACUUGACCCAUCAAUGCUCACUAUGCCAGCAUAACUUAAUGACAUAGAUCAUGAUAUGGUGUAGGAUGGAAAUUUUAUGUAAUGUGAUUUCAACAUGCCUAUUUUCAAUUGAUCCACCUUAAACAUUAGUGAGAUCAAAUUAUACAAAAUUAGAGUGUAAAUAAACCAAAAUUUUAUUUCUGUAGAAAAUAGCCUUAAAUAUCCCCAAACCGAAAAAUGUUUAUAUCAUAAAAGCAUUUAAAAGUUACAAACUCCCAUUAAAAAUGAAUAUCAAUAUCCUUUAAUGACAUGACACCCAUAUGAACAAUGUGCUCAUGAAACAUUUUAAAUGACAUUCCCUUAGUAAACGGAUCUGUAAUCAUGGAGUUUGUACCAUUAUACUUUAUAGACAAUUGUCCACUCUGAAUUCCUUAGGAACUUGAUGUCUAUAUACUGUGACAUCGUUGAGCUCUUAUUGUUAUUGGAAUAUAGCACUGCUGACUUAUUGUCACCAAAUAACUUAAGUGGUCUAUCAUAAGGGUGUCAAAAAAGCCUGCCCGGACCGGACCCGGCCCCCGGACCGCAUGCACAUAAAAACCGGACCCAGGUUUGAAAUUCUCAAACCCGGACAUUUCCGGGCCCGGGUCCGGGUUCAACACCAAAAACCCGGAACCCGGACCGGACCCGGUUUUUUAAUAAAUUUUUUUAAAAAAUAUAUAAAUAUAUAAUUAUGAAUUUAUGAUAUGUUGGAUGUUAUUUAAAUUUAUUGUGUGAUUAUUGUGUUGUUGAAUUUAAUUUAUUUAUUUUAUAUAUAGAUUGAAUGAGUUUAAGUUAGAAAUUGGAUGAAUUUAGGUAUUAGAAAGUGGAUUGAAAUAAUUUUAAUUUAUCAUUUGUGCAAAAUUUGCAUUGUUAGUGUGUUAUAUAUUUGUAUUUGACUAUUUGCUUUUUUAAAGUUUGAGAUUGAAUGAGUUUAUUUGAUUAUUUUCUUUUUUUAAAUUUGCAUUGUUAGAGAAAUGAAAGAAAAAAUUGAAGAAAAAAAUUGAAGUUAUCACAUGCGGGUUUAGAAAGCCCGGAUCAAAACCCGGACCCGGAAGGUGCCGGGCUCAACCCCGGACCGCACCCGAAAAAAUUGGGUUUUAACCCGGGUUCGGUCUUGUAUUUCUCUCAUCCAGUCCCGGGCAACACCAAAACCCGGACCGGACCCAAAUUUUGUCAAGCCUAGUCUAUCAAUACUAUUUAAAAUGAGUAAUUCUAUGACGAAAUUUUGUAGCCAUAUUCCUUGAUUGGAUAUUUCGUAACAUGCUGUGAACUCCGCUGCUAUAGUAGAAAAGGCUAUAAGAGACUGUUUAGCACUCUUUCAGGAAACAACACCCCUAGCCAGUAGCUAGAUGUAACCAAAAGUAGAUUUCAUAUUAUCUUGGGAUCUAACAAAAUCAGAGUUAGCAUAAUGAUCUCAAGCUGAUCUAACUUUCGAUGUAGUCUUUUGUUCUCUGUAAGUAUCGCAAGACCCGUUUGGCUGUUUCCCAAUAGUUUACCCCUGGAUUACUUAAAUAUCUAUCCAACAUUCCAGUAAUGUAUGCAAUAUUCAGUUGCGUACAAACCUAAACAUACAUCAGACUUUCUAUUACUGAUGUAUAAGGAAUCUUCUACAUUUUUUAUUCCUUAAAAUCAUCAUUAGGGCACUAAUUGUGUAACAUCCAUUAUUUUUGUUUUAUUUAUUUAUUUUUUAUUAUUUUACUACUACUACUACUACUACUACUACUACUACUACUACUACUACUACUAUUAUUAUUAUUAUUAUAUCUAUUUUAGAGAAUAUAGUAUUUUAGGCUAAUGAUUUUAAGCGUGUUUUAAUUUUUCUUUAUUUAUUUGAUUUACCAAUUUAGUAAAUACCUUAUUAAAAAAGGAAAUAAAUUCCUAAAUAGGUAAGGGUGUUAAAAGGCUUGGCUUUAUAAAAGCUUCUCUUGCGUUGUUUUAUUUCUCAAAAUCCUAGAGGCUGAAUACAACAACACACACAAGAGUAAACCUUUUUUUUUUAAGAAGAGAAGUAGAUUUUGAUUGGUUUUUUUCUUUUCCAUAAAGAAAUUCUUGAGUUUUGAAUUUGUUUUGAAGGAUUUAGCCUUCUGGUUUUAUUUGUGAUUUUAUGUGAUUGAUUGAAUGAUUUUGUGUGUAUUACAUUGAUAAAAUUGUGAAAGCAUGAUCAUCUAUUGAUUUAUGUUGUUAUUGAGUGAAAGUGGUGCUAUUAUUUUAUCUUGAAAACAGUGAACAACAUAGAUUCAAUGUUUUAUGACUGCUGUUUUCAUUAAGUCUCAUGCAUAAAAUUUUAUAAUUUAUUAAACUAGACAUCUUUAUCUUUCUAUUUAUAUGUUUAUCGUUCAAAACUCAUUGUAUAUUAAUUUUUUUGAUUUUUCAAAAUUGGAACACUAGUGUUGGAAAAUUCCAAUUUUCAGCAGCAGUUCUCGUUACUAUAAUUUAUUUGGUAACUCAAACGAUUUCUGAAAAUUCUAGGAACGUUUUUCAUUUUACACAUAUAUGUCUAGUUUCUGUAUACUUAAAUUCCUAAUUUUUGGCUUUAUAUAAAAAUAAUUAAAAAUCAUAGAGCUAGGCUACCGUAAUAUUGGAAAUUGUUUUCUAGAAUUGCGAGGGUUGAUAUUGAAGCGAGUUUGGGUUACUUUUUCAUAGUGAAUGCUAGGGGUGGGCAAAAUACCCGACCCGAUCCGACCCGAAAAAAUUCGGGUUCGGGUCGGUUCGGGUUGUUAUUGAAACCCGAACGGGUGAAAAAUUGCAAACCCGAUCGGGUUGUGAUUGGGUCGGGUAAAACCCGAUCCGAUCCGAAUACCCGAUCGGGUCGCACAAAAAAAAAAAAUCACUAAACCUAUAAACACAUCACACAUGCACACACCAGACACCAGACACCACACACACGGCCAUGCAAAGUUACAACUCAAAAAGUCACAAAAACAAGUGGCUAAAAAAAUAUUGACAAAUAAAAAACAAAAUAUAAUUAUAACCCACGCACACAGGCCACAGCCACACACAAACAUUGAAACAUAUCUUCGCUGCCUUCACAGCCCUCAUCCCCACAGCCCUCAUCCUUACACUCACAACUUCACACACACACACAAAUAUCGCAAAAGCCAAAAGCAAAGCGGCAGCUAGCAGCCAACGCAGAGAAGAGAACGGAGGAAGCGCAGCCAGUGCAUGCAGCCACCUAACCCGUGACUGGAUCUACUGCUCCGCGACAUCCGUAGCUACCAGAUCUGCUGUUGCCGGAUAUCUACAGGAUCUGUUGCUGCUGGAUCCGCUGCGCUGCUAUCGGAUCUGCUGUUGCAGCCUCCACCAUCACCGAGUUCCACCGCGAAGGUGCGAACCGGCAACUCGAAUUCUUUUCUUUUUUUGAUGUUUUGAUGGGAUAUAAUAAUAUAUUAUAUAUUAUCUGUUAAUUGCUAAGUAUAUGUAUUGUUAAAUGUUAAUAAUAAAAUGAGGGAAAUUCUUGUAUGGAAAGUUUUGGAGUUUAAUUUAUUAAGUCUGUGGAAGCUUAAAUAAUAAGUAUGAAUUGAUUUCUUUUUUUUUGUUUUGUUUUUAAUGAAUAGAUUAAGCAAAUUAAGCAUUAAAAUUAAAUAUUUUGCAUUUGAUCUGUGCAAUGUUUCACCCGAUCCGAAUUAACCCGAAUUUAACCCAAUUAUUUGACCCGAUCCGAUCCGAUCCGAAUAUAUUCGGAUCGGGUUACAACUUCGGGUUGAGUUCGGAUGAAUUCUUUUCUAACCCGAUCAACCCGAAAUCCAAUCGGGUUGAUCCGAACCCGACCCGAACCCAAAAAUGCCCACCCCUAGUGAAUGCCUUAUAAAUUUAACUUUUAUAUUCAAUGCAAACGUGUUCACAAUAGUUUUUUGUAAUAUUUUUGAUUUUUCUGACAUAAUUAUAGCUUGUUAGAAAUUAACUCUUACAAGACGAUCGAGUGUAGUUUAGUGAAUUGAUGUGCUUUAGUAAGAGUAAAUGGUUUAAGGAUAUUUUGGCUUUCUUAUCAACGUCAAAAUUGAAAAAAAAAAUUGAUAAGAAUCUUAUCUUGAUAAUUAUAGGCCAAGAACGAGCUCGUGUGAUUGGGGUUAUUGUUGAUUGCUUCGUAUUGAGUUAAGUGAACUCAUGCAUAAUGUUUAUUAUAGUUAUAUAUGUAAAUAUCUAGAAAAGAAUAAUGUUAUUCAUAUAAAUUGACAUUUUAUGGUUUUGAAGUUAUUUUACUCUUAUAUUUUAUGAUAAUAAAUAAUGUUUUGAUUAAAACUUUAUUUAAAAUAUUUUCUUAAACUAUUUAAAAAAUAACUUUAAAAUAAUUGUCUUUCCAUAAAUUGGUCUUCCUUAAAAAUAUUUGUUAAGCUUGCCAAUUCAAUGUCUUAUAAGAGCAUUUUAUCAUAAUAUUACUGAAUGAUUGAUAUUGAAAGACUGAAAUUGUAUUUAAGAUUUUGGCUCAUUAACCGUAGUUAUUGUUGCUGAUAUAACCGAACAUUUAACUAUAUUGUGCGCACCUAUUGAUGAUUAUAGUUGGGUAACGUACCCUAAUUGAACUACUAACCGAGUCAUCGGGGUUAUAGGUGACUUACUAAACUAAUACCGGGUCAUUAGGGUUAUAGGUGACUUAUUGAACCACUGGCCGGGUCACCGGAAGUACAGGCGACACUAUAUGACAUGAGCAAUUGAAUAAAUGAAUGGUUAUAUUGAUAAAUGAUUUCCGAAAUGAUUAUUUAUUAAAAAUGGUUAUUACAUUAUGAUUUAACUAAUUAUAAGUUUUAAUGUACACUUAUGGUACUUUAUAAUGAUUGUUUUGUAUUUUAUCGUUAUUAGUAACCUUAUGCAUGAGUUAGUGUUGAGUGUUAGAAAAUGCAUAUUUAUAAAGGAGAAAAUUGUCAUUUUACAUUUCAUGUCUUACUAACAGCCCUUACUUUUAUGUAUUUAAGCUUCUUGUAAUUUAAUUAUGUGUGUUUUAUUUUAAUUAAGUAUUUUAUGUAUUUUAGGGGCAUCAUGGUCAUUUCACAAUAAACGAGAGAUCAGACGGCAAAAUGGACAUCACUUUUGAACUCAGGACGGUUGAAAAUCUUAGGAGGAGCAUAAAAGGAAAAAUGACACUGUUCACAUGUACGGUACUGUCUAUGUUACUAUUCACGACACUGUUCACAUAGACGGAUCGAUGAUGUGGCAUUGACCGAUGAUGUGGCAUUGACUGAUGAGGUGUCACGAUCCUGUUGGACUAAAAUUCUUAUGCACUGUUGAUUGAUGACGUGGCAGCAUAUCAGUGGACCAAAAAUCUCGCGUACGGUACAUGCAUUAUACAGGAUUAUUUUCAACCAAACUGAGUCACUGUUCAACUCGGGGCAAACCGUGUUACUGUUCAUCCAAGUGGUCAAACCGCAUACUGUUGACUGAUAACGUGGCGCAAUCCUGAGCGUCCAAACUGUUUUUAAUCCGAUGGCCACGAUUUACUUAAUGUAUCUACAAAAAGGGGGCCUCCCCUCUAAUUUGAUACCUCUGAAUCCAUUUUUUGGAUCCAUUUUCUAUAAUUCCUUCUCCAUCUUGUAUUUUCUACGUAUUUUAAUAAAUUUCUAUUUUGCCCCUAGUUCAAUUAUGAGUAACUAAUUUUCUUUCAAGCUUGGGUUGAAGGUGAAGUCUCAACAUGUGUCAUGGGCUUUAUUUGGUAAAUUUAUUUUCUCUUCCCCUCUAGUUUUUGUGGAUGUUUUGACUUCUCGUCGAUAAAUAAUAAUAAUAUUGUUUAGUACCGCCUUGGUUUCACCGGCUCCCUAAUACAAAGUUAUUAUUAUUUGGCACGAUAAGCCCUUAGCACCAUAUUGAUUAGAGCGUAGUUCAUGAGGUGUGAAUUCCCCCCUCAUGAUUUAAUUGGUAUUAAUAAGGAAUAUUUAGCCCAUGGUGCAUUUGAUAUGAAUUCAAAUACCCAAGUACGUCAAUUUAAUAGAUUUUCACUUUAAUUUCUUCUCGCCAUUUCAAUUCCAAUUUUUAGGAUAAUUUAAAUCACUUCCACCACAAAUCCAACCACCUCAUACAAAAUUAAUUCUAUAUAUAAUUAAAAUCCACCUCCUCGUGAGAUCGACACUCGUCACUAUUAGUCUAUUAUACAAUAGAUUCGUAAGCUUGCGAGUUCAAUAAAAUUUGCACAACAAGUUUUUGGCGCCGUUACUGGGGAGGUAAGUUAUUUUAAUUUGUAGAAUUAAUUUUUGUCAAUAAUUUCUUUUAUUUGUUUUCUUUUUUUUUCUUAUUAAAAAAAAGGGAAAAAAGAGAGUGAAUUUGCAUUGAGAGAUUAGUAUUUCUUUUCUUUUUCUCUUCUUUAAAAUUCUGUAAUUUAAUUUUCAAGUUAUUUUUUUCUUCUUUGUAAUUUUUGUUUAUCUUACUAAUUUUUUUAAGUUAAUUUAUUUCACGUAUUUUUUUGUGUGUAUUUUUAUAGUAAGGUUGUAAUAGCGCGAUAAGGUUAGUAUCGUAAUUUCUCCCUCUUCUUUAUUUUUAUUUGUUUUGUUCCCAUCUUUAUUUUUAUUUUAUUUGUUUUACAUGCAUAGUCGAAGAUCAUUAUUACCUAAUCUUAAACCUAUAGACCUGGAACUAGAAAAAAUACUUCGCACACACAAGCACGUUAAAAAUAAAUUUGGAAUGGAUUUACAAGUACCACAAGAGAGGCCAUUUAAGGACUAUUUUAGUCCUUUAGCUAAUUUGAGCACAUCAUGUAUAAGAUACUCAAAUGUAGCUGCUACGAGUUUUGAACUAAGACCUAGUCUGCUAAAUUGUCUCCCAACAUUCUAUGGCCUAGAAAAUGAGGACCUUUAUAAUUAUUUGAAUGAUUUUCAUACUAUUUGUCAAACAUUUAAAUAUGAGAAUUUUUCAUAUGAUGAUGUAAAACUUAGACUAAUCCCAUUUUCUUUAAAGGAUAGAGCUCGUUCAUGGUUUAAUAUAUUGCCUGCUAAUACCAUUUCAUCAUGGGAACAAAUGGUAACGAAAUUUUUAAAUAAAUAUUUCCCAGUGCAUAAAACUAAUGCUAUUCGCAGGGAAAUUUCAAAGUUUACCCAUAGAGAAGAUGAGCAGUUUUUCGAAACAUGGCAGUAAUUUAAUGGGCUACUCUUGAAGUGUCCACAUCAUGGGUACGAGAAAUGACACCAAUGCCAAUACUUUUUGGAGGGAUUGUUGCUGAAUGUGUAAGAAUGACUAAUGGCAACAAGUGGAGGAGAGCUAAUGUCAAAAAGUGCAUCAGAGAUUUGGGAAUUCUUCUAGCGACAAGUGGAUAAUUCCCAACAACGGAGUCGAUCACUCAGGAAUACUAGAAGAAUUAAGGGAGUGAAUGAGGUUCACAUUGACGAGUCAACUUCAGGAAUCAAAGAAGUCAAGGAGAUGGUUGAAGGUAUCGCUCGACAAAUAGCAUCAUUAUCGACUGCUAAAUCAACAGAGCCACAUGACCAUGACUCAUACUCAGAUCAAGCCAAUACCAUAGGUGUAAUGAGAAGCCAUCAAAUUACAACCCAUACUCCAACACAUAUAACCCAGGAUGGAGAGACCACCCCAAUUUUUUAUGGUCUCAAGGAUUCCAACAGAAUGAAGCAGCAGCUCCAGCUCCACCAAUGCAACGAAUUCCUCAAGUUCCUCAAGCCUCUCAGCCACCAUUUAGACCAUACAAUCAGAACCAGAACUACUCUCAACCCAGACCAUGGGAGGAUGCAUUCCAGAAUUUCAAGAAUGUUACUCACUCUACGAUUGAGCAACAGAACCGCACCAUUGAUAGACUACGAAAUGAGUUGAGAGCAGGUUUCAACUCACAAGCCCAAUCAGUUUCAAGCCUUGAGAAGAUGGUGGGACAACUUGUUUCUUCAGUUCAGACCUUGGCAAUGACCGUUGAGAAAGGUAAAUUUCCAAGUCAACCAGUGCCUAAUCCUAAAGGAGUACAUGAUGCAAGUACUAGUUCACCACAGCAGCAUGGAGAGGUAAAAGUUGUCAUGACUUUGUGAAAAGAAAAAGAAGUCGACAACAAAGUGGAGAUGUAGGUGAUAAAAGAAAAUCAAAUUGUACCUGUAAAUGUUGAGGACUCAUCACCGGAGGAGAAAGAAGAAACGAACCUACGAGAAUAUGUUCCUAAAUCUCCAUUUCCUCAGAGGUUAGUAAAAGGAAAAAAGGAAAAAUUCACAGGUGAGAUUCUUGAAAUCUUCAAACAGGUAAGUGUUAACAUCCCUUUGUUUGACGCUAUAAAACAAGUUCCAUCUUAUGCUAAGUUUCUUAAAGACCUUUGUAUUAAAAAGAGAAACAUUCAUGUUCAAAAGAAGGCAUUUUUGACAGAAAACGUUAGUUCUAUACUCCAACAUAAAAUUCCUCUAAAAUGCAAAGACCCAGGCUCCCCCACUAUCUCAUGUAGUAUAGGGAACCACACAAUUGAAAAUGCUUUGUUGGAUUUAGGAGCUAAUGUAAAUCUGUUGCCUUAUUCAGUUUUCGUGAAACUUGGAUUGAGAGAAUUACACCCAACUCCAGUGGGGUUGCAGCUUGCAGAUCGGUCCACGAAAAUACCUCGUGGCAUUAUGGAAGACGUGCUUAUCCAGGUAGACAAGUUUUAUUUUUCUGUUGAUUUCAUUGUAAUUGACACUCAACCAAUUCAGGAUUCAAGGAAGCACAUCCUCAUUAUUCUAGGCCGACCUUUCUUGGCAACUGCAAAUGCUCACAUUCAAUGCAGGACUAGAAAUAUGCAGUUGUCCUUCGGCAACAUGACUAUGGAGCUGAACAUCUUCAACAUUGCCAAAUAACCUCACAAUGCAGAUGAUAAAAUUGUUGAUGCGGAUUUAAUAGAAACAUUAGUUGAUAAUACCUUUGUUUCAAACCUUAGUGAUGACCCUUUACAAACAUGUUUAACUCAUUUUGGUUUGGAUUUUGAUAUUGACAGAUCAGUCGAUGAGGUCAACGAAUCACCGUUUAAUUCCAGAAACGAGAUUAUGUGUCUGUCCGUUUACCCUUUCACCGUUUGCCACAAUCGGUGAACCGUUUUUCAACAGAGAGUCCUCUAACAGUUACUCCUUAGCCGUUAAGCGCUUAGGCUUUCACCGUUUCCCUUUCUUCAGCCUCUGGAAGUUACCCUUUAACCGUUUUCGCGAAGUCUAAAAUCUGUUCAAAGGUUUUCUUCUCCUUCUCCAGUUACCCUUUCACCGUUUCCUCCAUUGUUGCGCAGCCGAAGGUUUCUUUGUCCUCAAAUCCUCAUUUUUUCUUGCUUUCCUUGCCAAAUCAAACCUUCAAAAUUAUUUCUUAUCACCUUUAGAACAAUUCUACCGAUUCAAAACUUCAAAUCGAGCCCAAAAUUAAAAAAUCCCAAAUCUAAACCCUAACUGUCGCGGGUCGGGUUUCUUCAUUCUUAAUCCGAUUUCCACAUUUCUUCAACCAAAUUGAACAUCCUACUCACAUCCUCUACUCUUCUUUAAACCUUUUAUCGAUUUACUUUCGUCCCAUUACGUGUUUCCAUGGCUGAACCCUCUCGGAGAAAUCCCAGGCGUAAAUCUGUGCCCCCAAUGAAUCCCAUACCACCUCGGGAGGUCUCUGAGUUUUCAAGGAUUCACUUCCCCACACCUGCCUUGGCUAAGCGGUUCGAAGAUCGCUUUGAUGGUCGAAAGGUACUUGAUCCUUUUUUUGUUGAUAUUGAUAAUUUCCGCAACUUAGUUGUAUGUGGUAGAAGCAUUAGGGAUAUGCUUCAGCCUUGGGAGGCUGCCAUUGAUUUUGAUGACCGAGUUUAUCCAAACUUAGUGCGAGUCUUUUAUUCGAACAUGGAAAUCUCCGACACUCGCCUAAAUAGGAUAGUUACUCAUGUCGGCCGUGUGCCAAUAGAGUUUGAUGAUGCGGACCUAGCUGACCUUCUUGGUAUCUCUUGUGAGGGGCUUGAUAUUUACACCUCUAGGAAAGCCCUCUCCUUUGAUAGUUUUUCUCAUACUCAUGGCGUCCGUAAUAUAUGUCGUCGUCAAGACUUAUCGGAUGAGAUUUGUUUGCUUCCGUUUCGGUCUCAACUUUUACCUCUCCAAGUUCGUAUUCUUCACACUAUUUUACAGCACAUAGUGACUCCUAGGAAGGGUCACUCGGAUGAGGUUACGAGGUUGGACGUUCCCUAUUAGAUAGCCUUCUUACAGACCGUCCCAUUAACCUCGGGUAUAUUAUUGUGCGACAUAUGUUGAGUACUCCAGCGAUCAACCAUCGCUUGCUUCCUUAUGGCAGUAUCAUCACUAAAAUACUGCGACGCUUUGAGGUGCCACUUCUUGAUAUUGGACAUAUGGAGACUCGACGGAUUGGUUCCGAGGCCAUGACCAGUAUCGGAUUCUCUAGAAAGAAUGGAGUGUGGAUAAAGACAAGCAACUCCAAAAACCGGGAUACCUUGAUUGCUCCAGAGGACGAUCGGAUGCUCAAUGAUGUCUAUUCUCCCGAUCAGCUUCUUGACUUUAGAUUAGGAGCUCAUCCUCAUCCUCCGCGUCGCCAUUUUUUCCCUCGGCCUCCAGCUGACUCAGACUUUGAGGAGCGUGCGAUGGAUGCUGAUAUUCCCUCCUCUUCCGAGCCGCCUCCUGCUCCUGAGCCUUAUGCUGUUCCCGAGCAGCCAUCUGCCUCUAUGCCGCCUCCAGCUCCAGUUCAGCCCCUUGCUUCAGAUGCAGUGCAGCAGCUGAUUACUGAUGUUCAGCGGAUUUCGGAGCGACAGCAGCUGAUUCUUGAUCGGUUGGACAUCAUUUCCCGUGAUCACCAGCAGCUCCGCUCUGACUUUCAGAUUUUCCAGCAGCAGAGCAUUGACCAGUAGCUCAAGCUUAUCGCCGGACAGCGCACUCUUCUCAGCUAUUUCGGCUAUGAUCCGGGGAGCACAUCUUCUCCGCCUCCAUAGUUUCUGAGUUCUGUUUUCGCACAUACAUUUUUCCAUUUUGGUUGUUAGCUUUUUCAUACUUCGUAUAUGGAUUUUGAUGCAUAUGUGUGUGAUGUUCUUGAUGAUUAGAUGAUUGAUGCUUUGUGAUUGAAUAAUUGUUGGUAUGUUUGUGGAUAUUGAAGUGUUCUUUUGUUUUGAUCAUGGAGUUGUUGGCUUGUUGAAAGAAGAAGUUGGUGUCAAUCUAUUUUUUGAAGUGUUCUAUCUCAUUUUGUAUAAGUGGUUUUGAUCAUUUUUAAGGGGAAACUCUGCCAAAAUUUUCGCUCGCCAAAGCCGGGCAACUUCUUUAAUGGAUUUGUGUAUUUCUUAUUUCUUCUUUUCUUUUUGAUGAUGAAGGGGGAGAUAAUUAUGGUUUUUAAGAUGGUUUUUAAAUGGGGAGAUAUUAUUUUAAGAUGGAUUUAAAAUGGGGAGAUUUAAAGAAAAAAUCCUUUUAUUCAUAUUUCUCAAUUUGUCCAUACAUGUAGGGGGAGCACAUAUUAAGGGGGAGCUAAACAUUGAAUGAAAUUUGUCAUCAUAAAAAAUGGGGAGAUUGUUAACAUAAAUAUGUUAAUAAUAUUGAUUUUGAUGAUAACAAAUUUUAUAUGGUUUUUGACAAAAAUAUUGGAGAUAUUUCUUAAUAAACGAAAGCCCUUUUAUUCAUUGCCUUAUUUUUUCAUAAAAGAUGGACUUUCAAAUUAGAAAGAGAUUCUCUACAAAAAAAAAAACUCGUUUAAAAUUGCAAUUCUGGUUAUAAACGGUUAACCAUUUUAAACGAUUAAAGGCAGAGAGCAACAUAUUUCCUAAACCUUUAACCGUUUAUGAAAAACGGAAAACACAAAAGAUGGGAAGGUUACUGGAACUUAACGGUGAACCGUUUAUUUUAAACGGUUAACCGAUUAACACCAGAGAGCGACAUAAUGCCUAAAGCUCUAACCGUUUAUGAAAAAUGGAAAUCACCAAGAAUGGAAAGGCUACUGGAACUUAACGGUGAACCGUUUAUUUUAAACGGGUAACCGAUAAUGUCCAGAAUUGAAGGUUGUCCUCCUCUGGCACUGAUUAACGAAAAAUGAUAAGGCUAAAUUAUUUUGCAGGUUACUGGAGACAAACGGCGAACUGUUUAUUUCAAACGGUUAACCGAUAAUAUCCAGAAACGUUACUUCACGCAAGUUCUUAACCGUUUAGCGUAAACGGAUAACAAAUGCUCAUCUUGCAGGUCUCUGGUAGUUAACGGCUAAAGGUUAAUUACAAACGGCAAACCGUUUAUUUGAAAUCUAGCCCAACGGUAACUUUGACCAACCGAAACGGUUAACCGUUUAGGGUUAACGGCGAACCAUUUUCUGUCCGACAGUUUGUAACGGCUAGAUUUUCAGCUCCAGAUAUAAAUAAGCUCAUUCAAAUUCAAAGAAGGUUGAUCACAACACGACCAUUUUGAGCUAAUAUUCGAGAAUGCAAUCUUCAUAGAGCUUAGAACACAUUAUUGCUUCAUCUAUUCACAUAUUAAGCAUCAUUGUGUAAUCUUAUAUAUUGUGAGAGGUAAAACAGUUUGUAAUCUUUUACUUUGAGUGAUUGUAAGUGUUGGGAUACACUUGGGUUAAGAGAUUGGGGAUAAUCUCUUGUUGUAAAGGUCCAUUGACACCUUGGAAGUCAAGUGUAAGCAUUUGAAGCCUUGGAGGCUUGCUUAGUGGAAUCCUCAAGCCCGGAAAGCUUGGAGGCGUGGACGUAGGCGAGGUUGGCCGAACCACGUAAAAAUCUCGGUGUUUGAAUCCCUCUUCCCUUAUCUUUUUAUAUUGUGAUCAUCUUAAUUGUUAUUGCUUUGAAUUUGAUUUAUAAUUGCAUUAAGAUUUUCUUUAAUAAAUUGAAUAAUUUUUUAGAAUCCCAAUUCACCCCCCCUCUUGGGUUGCAUACUUGUAUUUCAUAUUUUCCACAUAUACCGGUAUAGUCUCUGACUUUUCUUUUACACUGCUAUCAUCUUCAUCUCUCGUUUGCAGUUGAUCUUCUAUAAAGAUAACAUCUCUGCUGAUGAUGAUCUUGUGGGCAGUGGGGUCCCACAGACGAUACCCUUUUACUCCAUCAGCAUAUCCCAAGAAGAUACAUCUUCUAGAUUUUGGAUCCAGUUUUGUUCUUUCUUGGGCAUUGUACAUCACGUACACAGGACAUCCAAAUGCAUGUAGGUAGGAAUAAUCAGCUGGCUUUCCAGUCCACAUCUCCAUCGCUGUCUUCAGCCCAAUAGCUGUAGAUGGCGACCGAUUUACUAUAUAACAAACAGUUUUGGCUGCUUCUGCCCAAAAUGAAUUGGGUAGACCAGCAGUCCUCAACAUAGCUCUUAUUCUUUCUGUAAGAGUUCUGUUCAUCCGCUCCGCCACUCCGUUUUGUUGAGGAGUGUAUGCUACAGUGAACUGUCUCUGAAUACAUUCUUGCUUACAGAAAGCAAGAAACUCGCCGUCUGUAUACUCUCCACCAUUAUCCGUCCUCAAUUACUUGAUCUUUUUACCAGAUUCAAGUUCCACCCGCGCUUUGUAUUCUUUAAACACUGGAAAUACAUUUGACUUUUUUUUAAUUGGAUACACCCAACAUCUUCUGGAAUAAUCAUCAAUGAAAGUCACCAUGUACUUUGCACCUCCCAUGGAUAUAUCCGGUGAUUCCCAAACAUCAGAAUGAAUCAAGUUUAGAAUGCAUUUACUUCUAGCAAUAGAUCUACUAAAUUUUAAUUUAUGCUGCUUACUUGUAACACAAUGCUCGCAAAAUGGUAAACUUACCGAUUUGAGCCCCGGAAGCAAUUUUCGCUCAGAGAGAAUCUUCAAGCCUUGUUCUGACAUGUGGCCAAGUUUGAGAUGCCACAUCAUCGUUGACUCUUCUCCAUUUGAUGCGACACACGCAUCAGCCUCCUGUAGUGUUUCUCCUUUAAGCAUGAAUAGAUUAGCACUGAUCUUUUCUGCAUUCAUCAAUACAAGCGCGCCUUUAACGAUCUUCAUAAUUCCAUUCUCCACAUGAGUUUUGUACCCAUGACUAUCCAUUUGUCCCAAAGACAAAAGAUUUUUCUUCAGGCCGUUGACAUGGCGUACCUCCCCAAUUGUGCGAAUUGUACCAUCAAACAUUUUUAUUUUGAUAGUACCAAUACCAGCGAUCUCCAAGGCAUGAUCAUUACCUAUAUAUACAGAUCCUCCUGAGAUAGGUUCAUAUGUGUGGAACCAUUCUCUCCGAGAGGUCAUGUGCCAGGUAGCUCCUGAGUCUAUAAGCCAGACAUCAGAUAGUCGUUUUCUGCCUUUUGAAACAAUUGUUGCCUCGCUGUAAAGAAUUUCGCCAUCAUCCGAGGUACUUGCUAUACACCCUUGAGCAUUUGAUGACUCAGGUUUUUUGCCCUCUUUUCUCUUCUGGUUACUCCAACACUCUUUCUUGACGUGCCCUUUCUUGCCACAGUUGUAGCAUUUAACAUUCUUCUUACUUCUGGAUUUUGAUCUACCAUGAUUUUGACUCCCACUAGGGCCACGUUCCGUUGAUCUCCCUCUCGUCACCGAUAGCGCCUCCGUUUGCUGUGAACUUACUUGUCUGUUUUCCUUAUUUUUUCGCCUGCUCUCCUCAUUUAAUACGGAGGCUGCAACAUCGUCAAAAACUAGACUGUCCACUGGAUUAUUGUUCGUCAGGUUGAUGAUGAGUUGAUCAUACGAAUCUGGUAGACUUUGAAGUAGAAGCUCUGCACGUUCAUUUUCCUCUAUAUUAUGACCCAACGUUGUGAGUUGUGAAAAUAGAGUCUUCAAGGUGUUGAUGUGGUCGGUCACCAUUGUAGAUUCCGCCAUUCGAAGAGUAUAAAGUUUCCUCUUCAAGAAAAUUUUGUUGUGUAGUGACUUGGCCUCGUACAAUUUUGUGAGAGUAUCCCAAAUUUCCUUCGUUGUGUUUUUCUCUGCCACACUGGAUAAUACUCCGUCUGCAAGUGCCAAGUGUAGAUCAGAAAUGGCGUUGCCGUCUACCUCGUUCCACUUGUCAUCAGUUAUCUCCAUGGGCCUUUCUCCAAUUGCUGCCAAGCAAUUAUUUUUCCUCAAUACAGCUUUCAUCUUCAUUUUCAACAAUGAAAAAUUAUUUCCGUUAAACUUCUCAAUUUCAUACUUUGCCACCAUUUUGUUGAUAAAUACCGCACACAAGCUAGUGUACCACCUUGAAUAGUUGUGAGUAUGUGUGAGAAUGCACACCAGGAAAGUUCCCAGGAAAGACUGGAGGGGUCACAAUGGUCCCACUUAAAACCCAGACUCAUUAAGCUCUUAUCGCCUUUGUGAUAGAACUUUCCUAGACAUGUACAAAACCACACAGUUGCUAUUACUCACACCACUAUUCUCUGCUUUGCAUCACAAAAUUCUUGGAUCGCUUCCACCGUUUCUUGUGAAUAGUACCGUAUACGUGAACAUUACCGUUUACGUGAAUAGUACCCCUUACGUGAACAGUACCCGACUCCAAAAAUACAACCAAUAGCUCUGAUACCACUGUUAGGAAAUUGGUAGGUGAAGCAGACACGCAGCUAGAAUAAAAUUGAAAGAAAAAUAAAGAACAAGUACAAAAAAUGGACACCAGAAAUUACGUGGUUCGACUUUUAGCCUACAUCCACGGGCGAAGACAGAAGGAAAUAUUUUACUAGUGAAAAGGAGUUACAAGUAUUGUAGUAUUUUAGCUCACUUCCCAAAAUCCCAAUACACCCAAACUCUCAGAACACUAAUCACUCAAGAGUUUAUUAAACUCUUAAUACUCUCAACACUAAAAGAAAGCAAUAUUUCUCUCUCGAUGGAAUUGGAUACAAGCUCUAGAUUGAGAGCUUGUAUUUAUAGGCAAAAAUUUGCCUCAAAUGUCAAACAAGUGGCCAUAAACUUCAAGCCAUACAUCUUAAAAAUUUCAAACUUUGAAUUUUUAGCUUUGAAUUUUUCUUUUCUUUUACCAAACAUUACGGCAUCUAGAAUUUCAAAGCCAAGUGCCAACCAUUCUUGUUUAUUCAAAGCUUCUAGAUGCAGCCAAUUUUGACAAUUACACAUAUAUAAGAGUAUGUCGUCAGGUCCAUACUAGUAUUUUUACACAAGCGGUCACCUCAAUUGCUUUAGGAGCAAGAUGAGAUGAGACAAGUAGAAUAAUAAAACAAUAUUUUUGUGUGAGAGCCAAAUAAAAAGCGUUAUUCUACAAGUUUUUUUGCCUUGACUAGAAUCAAGAGGUCUCACACGAUUUUCAUUAUAGACUGACUAUGAUAUACCCCACCAUCAUGGAGACUUCAUUGAAGCCAGAUGUGAGAUCUUUACUUUUUACGCUAGAAGAGAGCGUUCAUUCUAAAAGAGUGACUAGACUAAGAUCUAUAGUCCUGGAAUGGAAAAUUUAUCGUAACGAGUGUAUCAUACCAUGCGUGCUUGGUAAUCAAAAUGGAAAAUGAAAGAAUCUUCAAUCUUUCUAAUUGUGUAAGUUCCAUAUAACUUUUUAUAAGUCAAUCCUGGUAUCAUCUUCUUCUCUUCUUCGUGAAGAUUAAAAUUAAGAACAUUGAACAAUCCAUAAAAAGGGCAUUUAUACUGUGAUUAGAUAAGGAUUUCCGCUUGCGAUUUCUUCUGACCAUUAACAUGAUCCAGUACUCGAUUACUCCGCUGCUGAAUUCAAUAAGAAAAAUAUUUCUAGAAUUUUCAUUUUUCCUUCAGACCAUGUAAGAAGCAUACGAACAGGAUGAUCCGGAGUCAAAAGGUGAACGAGGUGACGGCUCGUCCGUUAGUACUAUUAAUGUAUAAGGUAAUAUGGGAAUUACUAAUAAUUAAUCGACUAGCUGAUUUGUUAGUUAUGAUUAUCAAUGACGGUCUAUUUCCUGCCCAUAUUUUACCAUGCUGUUGAAUGGUCCCCUUAAAAUAAUCCAGAUCAGUCAUUUGCAUAAAAAUAUAUCAUGAGCGGUUAGGUGGAGGAUGCUGAUUUGUUAGAAAAUAAUUGUUUUCAACUCUUGCGAUUGUCUGCACCCUGCACUCUUGUUCCAAAACCAAUACAAAACUGUAGCAAUCUUAAGAGGAUUUGUGGAACAAAAGAUGGCCAAGAUUGGAGGUUCUCUGCUUGUUCCUUGUGUUCAAGAGUUGGUCAAGAAUCCUAUGUUAGUUGUCCCUCCUAGAUACAUUUGUCCGGACGAAGAUUCACCACUCAAUUCUGAUGAUACUUUGAUUUCACAGAUACCAGUUAUUGACAUGCAGAGCUUGCUUUCUGAAGAAUCAAUGGAUUCUGAGUUAGCCAAGCUCGACUUCGCUUGCAAAGAAUGGGGUUUUUUCCAGGUAAAAUGCUUUAGCAGAGUUAGAAAGAUUUUUCAUGCUUGUCUGUGAUUUAAGAAUCAUGAAAUCUGCAAAACUCUCAGUCACAAAAUAUCUAUUUUUGAAACCCAGUUUCCAUUGAUUUAGCAUGUCAUGAUUUCAAAUUUUCCCAUCUAGUCCUUUUGCUGCUUUCAGUGCUUCUACGACUGCAGCUUGUGAAAUGUCAAGGAAGUUGUCUCUUGUUUUAUUGUACAAUUUAUGAGGCGAUAUGAGAAGAAAACACUCACCAUUUAUUUCUGAAACCCAG
rnacentral:lncRNA from 1 species